rnacentral:lncRNA from 1 species
AGUGGGGUGAGCUUAGCAGAAGCCUCCAGGGAAUGACUCCCUGGAGCCAGAGUGCCCCAGACAGCCCAGCUCGGGGCUUCAGGGGCCCUGGCCGCCUCCCAGGCACUUAUUUUAUGUUCAGAAAGAGCAAAGCUGACAGGUAAUAAAUGGACGAGGAGGACUGGAGUGGGCUCUGACUGUCUGCCCGGCGCCUGCCCGGCCAGCCCGCCAUACCCACCACCACCCUCUCAGGGGGAUGAGAGCACCAUUAAUUACCCAGGAAGAAAGGGCGCCAUGAGGACGCACCCAAUGUUGCUUGGGGACAUCAUCUAUGGCCGCAUUUUCUGAGAGAAGCACCAAGCCUGAAGCUUGGCUGUCACCCCCACCACCCUCUGCCAUCAGCCGGCCAGGCUUUCCUUCUCCCCAGGUCGGUGCCAACAGUUCUCCAAACAGGAGCUCAAGCCACCGUCCCACUUGCCCUGUGAAGAAGGAACUGUUAUCAUUACAUUUUACAGACCAGACAGAGGGAUGCUGGCACCCAAGCCUGACGAGACCCACAAAGGAUGUUCCCUGAAGCAGAACCCCCACGGAGGGGUGGCUAAGUCAAUCUCAUACUGCAGAAAGUUCUACGCAGCAGAUAGAGACAGUGAGGUGGAAUUCUACAGCUGAAUUAGAAAAAUGUGUCCAAAUAUCUUACUGAACGAAAGAAGCAAGUUGCAGAACGAUACAUGACUUUAAAAAAGAAAUUUAAACAGAAUCAUAUUAUUCUAUGGAUAUAUACAUGUGCAUGAAAGUGCAAGGCAGCACUGAGAAAAAUGCCCUCCAAAGGCCUCCCACGCAUUGGCUAGACUCUGCUGCCAGGGGCCCACCCCAACUCUGCCUCAGCCCUAGCCCAGCCCCGCUCUUCAUACACAGGAAGAUCAUGACCCACCGACUCUCACAUCCUGCUGCCAGGAGAGUACACAGCCACAGUCUUUGCAGAGAGUGAGUAGGCAACAUGGAUCAAAAGUUAAAAAUCCAUAAACGUCCAUUUUAAAUUCAUAGAUUCUCCUUCUACAUGCUAUCCUUCAGAUAAACUCUCACAGGCAUGUAAGAACAGAUGUACAAGGAUGUUUAUGCACUCCGGUUUGAAGCAGCAGACAAAAAAAAAAAAAAAAGCACCAAAACUGUAAGCAACGUCUGUGUCCGUCACAGGGGGCCUGGUUGAAUAAAUUAUAGUCUCUCCUGAAAAUGGAAUCCUGUGUGACCGUUCUGCAGCGCGAGGUGGAAAUGUGUAUACCGACACCAUGGACUCGAGGUGAAGAUGCACGGGAUACUUCAGGAUGUGUGGGAUGAUCUCCCGGGUGGAUAGAUUCUUACAUAUGCUUCUGUGUGUGUGUGUGCGUGUGUGUGUGUGUGUGUGUUGAGUAGGGAUGAAGAAAAAAGGCUUAGUUUUCAGUCUAUAAUAUUUGAUUUUAUUUUUAAUAAACAAAAUCAUGACAUGCCAUUUUUAUAGACUAAGAAGCAGAUUUUGGUGCAGGAUGUUGAUGGUGGGGGAGGCUGUGCUUGUGUGAGCACAGAGAGUAGAUGGGAUCUCGUACUUUCUGCUCAAUUUUGCUGUGAACCUAAAACUGAUCUAAAAAAUAAAGGCUAUUUUUUAAAAAAUAGAUUAAAAGUCUUUAGAAAUUCAAAACACAAGAGAACCUUUUCCUCCA